CUCCUCCUCCUCCUCCUCCUCCUCAGCAAACAUUGCUGUGGUGAGUCUCACAUGCAAGUAAGCAGUCAGCUUUCCUUUCUCCCUGCCAGGUGAGAAUGGUAGCCAUAUGCAGCUGGAGAGUUAACUCCAAAGAGGGCCACCUUGUAAUGUAGAGGUAGAGGAAACCAGAGUAACCUACUCUUAGGAUGAGUGGGAGUGGCUAUGGGGUUGCCUUUUCAGGAAAUAGUGGUAUCCCUGAAGUCAUUGUUGAAUCAGCUUUCAAGGAAACAUUGUGUCUGACCCCAACUUGCUUUGCACUUGUGGAGGCUCCUUAAAACCUGUCACUCCUGAAGCCAUUGGCUUCCUGUCUGCCAUAGGGGUCUUUGUUGUCCUUCUGGCUGUCCUUGCACUCUUCAUCAACAAGAAGCUGUGCUUUGAAACCAUAAGAGGCCGUCCACACCUGGAACAAAGAGGGAAGAGGAAGCAGUCUUUGAGAGAAAAGACUGGGGACCACACAGGACCAGGUAAGCAUCACAUUUUAUGUUCUCCUGAGCUAAAAGGUGGUACUCUUUCCAAGGUGGCCCCAUAAGA
rnacentral:lncRNA from 1 species